UGAGUAACACGUAUGCAACCUGCCUGCCACAGCCGGAUAAUCGGGAGAAAUUCCGUCUAAUACGGCAUAAUGCAUCGACGGGACAUUCUGUUGGUGCCAAAGGUUAAUUCCGGUGGCGGAUGGGCAUGCGUCGCAUUAGUUAGUUGGCGGUGUAACGGACCACCAAGACGACGAUGCGUAGGGGUUCUGAGAGGAAGGUCCCCCACACUGGUACUGAGACACGGACCAGACUCCUACGGAAGGCAGCAG
rnacentral:rRNA from 1 species